GAUGAACGCUGGCGGCGUGCCUAAUACAUGCAAGUCGAGCGAACGGACGAGAAGCUUGCUUCUCUGAUGUUAGCGGCGGACGGGUGAGUAACACGUGGAUAACCUACCUAUAAGACUGGGAUAACUUCGGGAAACCGGAGCUAAUACCGGAUGAUAUUUUGAACCGCAGGGUUCAAAAGUGAAAGACGGUCUUGCUGUCACUUAUAGAUGGAUCCGCGCUGCAUUAGCUAGUUGGUAAGGUAACGGCUUACCAAGGCAACGAUGCAUAGCCGAACUGAGAGGCUGAUCGCCCACACUGGAACUGAGACACGGUCCAGACUCCUACGGGAGGCAGCAGUCGGGAAUCUUCCGCAAUGGGCGAAAGCCUGACGGAGCAACGCCGCGUGAGUGAUGAAGGUCUUCGGAUCGUAAAACUCUGUUAUUAGGGAAGAACAUAUGUGUAAGUAACUGUGCACAUCUUGACGGUACCUAAUCAGAAAGCCCCGGCUAACUACGUG
rnacentral:rRNA from 1 species